CUCAGCCCUGCCCGCGCCGCCGGGGGUCUGGGAGCACGCGGAGGGAGGCUGGAGCGCGGCCGGGCCGGACCCGGGGCUCCCCCCGCCGAUUUUUUUUAUUACUUAUUAGCAACCACACUCUCUGCUCUUGGGACGACCCCUCGCCUUUGAACGUAGCCGGCCCUGUUAUUACCGGUGCUCUGCCGGGGCCUGAGGUUGCUCCCCUGCGCCGAGCGCCGCCGUGGACUGAAGGACAAUCUUUUUCCCCGGCAGCCCUUCGCGCCGACCAGAGUUCGCUCGGGAUGCUCCCUCCCCACCGCCGGGAACCGCCGAGGCCCGAGGAGCCUGCAGCCUUGCGCGGGGGCAGUGGGGCCUGGUACGCUGAUGUCUGUGCCCUGUACGGGUAGGGACGUCGAGGCCAAGAGCGACCGAGCAGCUCCGCGUGGCUGGGGAAGGAACCCAGGGACGCACAACCAGUGAUUUCUAAUCUCUGAAACCAGUGAUUUCCAACUUGUUCGGCCAAGAAACUCUCAGACGUGAAAUCACGUUGCCGCUUAGUGGGUAAGAGGAAAGGCGCUGUGCCCACAGAUAGCGUGUUUGGUUCCGAUCCAGCCUCCCGUACGUACUAGCUGGGUGGCCUCGGACGAGGACUCCACCUCUCCAGGAACCCAGAGCCCCCCCCGCCGAAUGGAGCGUCUACACUAACAUCAUUCCCGACAAGCUAUGGAGAAUUUGCGGAGUUCCAACUCUCCUCUGAACCACUGGGCCCUUUCUCCCCAACUUUUCUCUCUCCCUCAGUUAAUGCUACUGACUUUUCGGAAUAACUGUGGACUCCAAAAAUGGGCCCUAUUUUAGAAACAUUCACAAUGACGCCUCUCUCCAAGCCAAACACCCCAGCUUCAACCAGCUUAUCAUUCUCCUCCAUGAAAGGGUGGAGCUGAAAAACCCCUGCCGAUAGACCAAGUCGACUUCCUUUGUUGGACAGAGUUACAAUAAAUUUAAACUGUCAAAACUGUUUUGGUCUGUCUUUUUUCAGUUUCAAGUUCCCCUCCCCCCCCUCGAUUAGUGUGUGUGCUUAAAUAUUGUGCUCUCACAGUUACCAGGUCUGGGAAUUCUUUACUCCAGAGCCGGCUACAUACACAGCGAUCAGAAUGGCCAGCCACCUACAUCCCAAGGCAGGUUAAUAGCCAGAGGAUUUGGAGGGG
rnacentral:lncRNA from 1 species